rnacentral:rRNA from 1 species
UUUAAAUUGAGAGUUUGAUCCUGGCUCAGGACGAACGCUGGCGGCGUGCUUAACACAUGCAAGUCGAGCGAUGAAGCUUCCUUCGGGAAGUGGAUUAGCGGCGGACGGGUGAGUAACACGUGGGCAACCUGCCUCAAAGAGGGGAAUAGCCCUCCGAAAGGAGGAUUAAUACCGCAUAAAGUUAGAGUUUCGCAUGAAACUUUAACCAAAGGAGUAAUCYGCUUUGAGAUGGGCCCGCGUCCCAUUAGCUAGUUGGUARGGUAAUGGCUUACCAAGGCAACGAUGGGUAGCCGACCUGAGAGGGUGAUCGGCCACAUUGGAACUGAGACACGGUCCAGACUCCUACGGGAGGCAGCAGUGGGGAAUAUUGCGCAAUGGGGGAAACCCUGACGCAGCAACGCCGCGUGGGUGAUGAAGGUUUUCGGAUCGUAAAACCCUGUUUUCUGGGACGAUAAUGACGGUACCAGAUGAGGAAGCCACGGCUAACUACGUGCCAGCAGCCGCGGUAAUACGUAGGUGGCAAGCGUUGUCCGGAUUUACUGGGCGUAAAGGGUGCGU